GAUGAACGCUGGCGGCGUGCCUAAUACAUGCAAGUCGAGCGAAUGGAUUAAGAGCCUACUCUUAUGAAGUUAGCGGCGGACGGGUGAGUAACACGUGGGUAACCUGCCCAUAAGACUGGGAUAACCCCGGGAAACCGGGGCUAAUACCGGAUAAUAUUUUGAACUGCAUGGUUCAAAAUUGAAAGGCGGCUUCGGCUGUCACUUAUGGAUGGACCCGCGUCGCAUUAGCUAGUUGGUGAGGUAACGGCUCACCAAGGCAACGAUGCGUAGCCGACCUGGGAGGGUGAUCGGCCACACUGGGACUGAGACACGGCCCAGACUCCUACGGGAGGCAGCAGUAGGGAAUCUUCCGCAAUGGACGAAAGUCUGACGGAGCAACGCCGCGUGAGUGAUGAAGGCUUUCGGGUCGUAAAACUCUGUUGUUAGGGAAGAACAAGUGCUAGUUGAAUAAGCUGGCACCUUGACGGUACCUAACCAGAAAGCACCGGCUAACUACGUGCCAGCCGCCGCCGUAA
rnacentral:rRNA from 1 species